GCCCAGUAUUAAAUUUAAUUUCACCUUUACGUUCACAUGACAAGUUAUUCUUAAAUCUAGUUUUUAUCCUGUGCUUUGCUACGCCAUGGUAAAAUAGGUUGCCUAUGCCUGCUCUAGUGUUUGUCACUCAGAAAGUCACUAGAGGAGCUACCGAUGUCAGUGUAAAACUCUGCUGUUUUGACCAGUUUCAGCAAAACCAUCUAAUUGGAGUAGUGCUGCAUUUUGCUGAGAUCAUCAAGCUUUUACAUGUUUCUGGACUUAUAAUGAGCUCUCACAAGAUCAGGUGACUGAUGAUUACUCUAUUGCAGAGCCGUGCUCGUUUCGUUAUAAACACAGCAUGGCCUGACAAAAAAAAAAAUCCCAAACAAACACACAAGUGCACAGCUCGGCCAGUGUAUAGCUUCAUUCAGG